rnacentral:rRNA from 1 species
UCUCCCCCAAGAGUCCACAUCGACGGGGAGGUUUGGCACCUCGAUGUCGGCUCAUCACAUCCUGGGGCUGUAGUAGGUCCCAAGGGUUGGGCUGUUCGCCCAUUAAAGUGGUACGCGAGCUGGGUUCAGAACGUCGUGAGACAGUUCGGUCCCUAUCCGUCGCAGGCGUAGGAAAUUUGAGAAGACCUGUCCUUAGUACGAGAGGACCGGGAUGGACGUACCUCUGGUGUACCAGUUGUUCUGCCAAGGGCAUGGCUGGGUAGCUAUGUACGGAAUGGAUAAGCGCUGAAAGCAUCUAAGCGCGAAGCCAACUUCAAGAUAAGAUUUCCCACCGCAAGGGUAAGACCCCAGAAAGACUAUCUGGUUGAUAGGUCGAAGGUGUAAGUGCAGCAAUGUAUUUAGCUUAUCGAUACUAAUAGGUCGAGGACUUGACCAAU